UACGUAGGGGGCAAGCGUUGUCCGGAUUUAUUGGGCGUAAAGAGCGUGUAGGCGGUUUGGUAGGUCCGUUGUGAAAACUCGAGGCUCAACCUCGAGACGCCGGCGGAAACCAUCAGGCUAGAGUCCGGAAGAGGAGAGUGGAAUUCCUGGUGUAGCGGUGAAAUGCGCAGAUAUCAGGAGGAACACCAGCGGCGAAGGCGGCGCUCUGGGCCGGUACUGACACUGAGGAGCGAAAGCGUGGGUAGCAAACAGG
rnacentral:rRNA from 1 species